AAUUUAACAAUGUAGCAAUAUCGUAGCUAAUGAGGUUAAACCAAAGCGCGAUUAUUGCUAGUUGAAAACUUUCCCCAAUGCUCUGCCUGGAUGGAUGGAUGGAUAGUGUUGACAUUUUGCUCUGUUAUAUGCAAC